CAAAAAAAGUACAUGCUACACCCAAUGUUGGGCUGGAAUAAGUUGAUAAGUUGUUAUAGUAAGCCUCCAGACAGGUUAAGACUAAUUCAUGGAUUCAUUGUGGUAUGAACUUAGAAAUGUGUAGCAUGUAUCCUUAUAACCUUCUGAGGAGCAAAUCAAGGUAACUUCUACCCUUUCCUACGCAGGACGUAUCACUGUGGCGGACUCUCAAGCUGGAGAGUUCUUAAUGGCUGUACCUUGACAAAGCAGUGAGUUUCAUCACUAAGUUUAUUACGGGGGCCAGGAAGGUUGUGGCACAACAGGUUAAGGCCCCAAUUGUUAACACUUGCAACCCGUACUGGAGUGCUGUUCAAGUCCUGGCUGCUCUGUUUCCAAUGCCGCUCCCUGCUAAUGCACCUGGGAAGACAGCCCAAUUACUUGGGCCCCUGCCCCCCUAUUUGUGGGAUACCCAAAUGGAAUUCUGGGCUCCUCGUUUUAGUCUAGCCCACCCCUGGAUUUGAGGCCAUUUGGAGAAUAAACCAGCAGGUGAAAAAUCUCUUUCUGUCAUUGCCUUUCACGCAAACAAAUCUUAAUAGAAAAUUUAUUAAAACUUGUAAUUUUUGUUUUUGGUAAAAGUCUCAAAUCUCCUAUAAGAAUGUUUUUAUACUUCUACAGUCGUAUCACCCUGAAUACUUCUGACAGACCUAGCCUUCUGGAAGAGAAAGGAAUGUUUAGACAUCCAGCAGGCAGUGGAAGAAUCAGCCAGAGUGAACUCUCCGGGGGAACUAACAGUUACCUCCACCACCGACUGGCUGCCGUCUGGAUUGAUCCGGAAAGAUCCCAUCUGAAUGGUCUUCUUGGGGUCCACCUGGGCAAUCUCCCACUCGAGUUCAUCCACCAGAGCCCUGCAAGCUGGGUAAGAGGGAUUCGCAUUCAUUUCCCCCCAGGCCUUGGGUCUCGAGCCCUGCCCAGAGUCCACUCCCUCCCCCUUCUUAUGUUCUGUGUGCUUUUCUUUACCUCCACAGUGUAGAUCCUGGCUCCUCCGAGCCCAGGCAGUUCCCAGCAGGGCCCCAAGAAGCAGGGCCAGCCAACCCCAGCCUUUCAUCUUUAACGUAAUGGGGUUGCUCCACCUGAAUUUGGGUGGGGGAAAAAAAAAAAAAAAACAAAACAGAGUAAGGAACCGACUCUACUUCCCCUGCACCCCCCACACUCCACCUCUCCAUCCCAAGGCCUUCCAGAGCCUCCUGCCAUUCUGACUGCUUUCCAGGAAAUGGCUGGGACACAAAGAAGCUCCUCUGCGCCGGCGCUUGAGGGCUGACCCCUCCGGAGCGCAGGGCUUGGGGCUCAGGGGCAGGUGAGUCCCUAAGUGUUGGUACGUUACCAUUAGCGGCCAAGGGUUCACAGGGCUAUGUGGCAGCUACGGGACGGAGGCCGGUGACCGUGCGAGGGGCCUGCGGUCAGGCCAGGCGGCCGGCGAGCAGAGCGCUCAACAACCAGGGCCUGACAGGAUCCUGCACAGAAGAUGCCCGCAUGCCCUCCGCCAGCCUCCAAGGGACUGCACGUGUGGACCAGCCCCCUUUCUGAGGGCUCCCCCAUUGCUUUCGCUGCAGCCCGUCCCCAGCCCUUAGCGCCGCACGCGUCCCACCUCUGCUCCCAGGGCCGCCGCCGUGGCCCAGGCGCUGCAAAAUCGCCGGACUCUCACUUUGGCCUCGGUGGCUCCCGAGCCUCGCACCUGGCUGAGGGGGGAGCGGGGCUGUCCGUGAUCCUCCAGAGCGCGUCGGUGCUUUCUAGAAACGGGGUGCCCAGGCAGCCGCCUGACCCAGCUCCCUGCACCCUAACUGGGCGCCUAAGCGGGGCUCGGGUUGUGUGGCCGGGCGAGCCCCCACCACACAGCGACCCUAAACCCGCCCCUGCAAACUCUCGCGCGAACAGGCAACGUGGGAGCGGCACUGAAGUGGCGAGGACCCCGGUGGCUUGCAGAAGGACCCAGACUUGCGUGGCGAAGGGCUCCACGUGACUGGCCGCCGGCGGGUAGCAGAACAGGAGCGGCGCCAGGCGCGGACGGAGCCCGGCGUGUUACACGGGAGCAGUGAGGCGCGAGCGAUGCAUCGCUCUAGGUGGGCUAGGGCCUUCAGAACCCCGGGCUGCGGCUAGCCAGCCAGACGACCUCGCCUCGAAACUACAUCUCCCAGAACGCACUGCAGCACCAGCUGACCCUUUCGGCAGCUGCUGGCGUCAGCAGAUGCCCUGGGACUUGUAGUUUUGCGGCUUACGCAAACCAUACCACGUGUCUUCACAGCAGUCUGACCCUAGGGUACUGGGCAUCUACAGCAAACACCUAGUGUUGUCCAGGAAGGGAGUAAUUUCACUUCUCCCGUAUCCAUAACUUUGGACCCCGAAGCUUUACCUUCAUUCCCGGAUGUGGAUUUGAGCACAACUUUAGUUUUCUGAGUGUUAAUAAGAAACCAAAAAAUAAUAAUAGAGCUUCACAGAACCCCUACAAAAGCAGUUCUAUAAUGAGACAGGUGAUUAGACAAUAUUUUCGUUUUUAUUUUAUAAAACAUGCGGCUUAAAAUAAAUUUUUAAAAAAUAACAAAACUUGAGACGGGAAAGAAGAUGGAAGACAGAUGCUUCUCAGCUGUCAGCAGGAAUGGAGCCAGCAGCCAAGCUUUGUCCAGGAAACAAAGUCCCUUUUGGCAAUGGUAUUGGCAACUGUGGUUUUCUUGAUUCCCCAAGCUGCAACAUGAUGAUCCCUCCAGGCAUCCCCUGAGCAAUUGAAGACUUGAGCUAAAUCUUGAGCUACUAAGUAUAUCCUCUUGUCACUGUCCAGUACUUCAGUCCCCAGCCAGCUAGGAGCUGAGAGUGUUGGUCCCAGAACCUUCUCCGCCUAGAUACUAAUCACCCCGGGUAUUUAUUAAGAAUGCCAAUUACUUUCCGUCUGGGUCUAGACUUUGUAUCUGGCCUGCUGUUUUGCAAAGGAUGAAGAAGGAAUCCGGCUCCUAGAACCUUUGCAUCGAUUUUUCUGAGUUCCAGUUCUAUUAAUAGCACCAUCUGUGGAGACUGAGCAGGUCCCGUUCUGGAAGUGGACCCACUUGGGAAGCCAUCUCCCAGUUCUGGGGCUACAGAGCACUGAAGGGAGAGGGCAGGUCAGAGUGCCAGCACUGAGGAGAAGACCGCUGCGUCUGUCAGAGACAAAACCGAGAGCACGACUGUUAGGCGAGUGCAGAGAACACCUGGACGCCUCUCGUGAAGAAAAUGGACGAGAAAACGGGCGUGGACCUUCCCCAAACAUUUCAGAAUUCAGCAAGAGGAGAUUAUAGGACUGAUGCAGGGUUUCAAUAAUAAAAACAAUUUCCCUGCCUGUUAGGAGGAUUAAGUGCAAUUGUAAUUGCUAAUCACUUUACAAAAAAUAGGGUAAGAUUGGUCUUGUUAUCAUCACUCAUCAACAUCGUUGUGGUGGUGGGUAUAACCUCCAUGUAUGCAAUCAAAACCUGUCCGAGCCAGUCUCCCUGUUCCCAUUCCAGGCCUUACUCUUGGGACUUGUCUGGCCCUCUGGCUCAGGCACCUUCCAGUCCAUCUUCCGGCCCUUCUCAUAAAGGCCCUUGAGCACCUUGUGGAAGGAUUCAGGCUCAGUGCCGUUCUUGCUUAGCUCCAGAUACUUUCGAUAGAGCUGAAGAGCUGUGCGGGCAUCCUCAAUACUGUCAUGGGUCUCCCCUUGAAUCUUCAGGUCUAGGGCGAGUAAAGGCAGAAGAGUUGGGGACCAGGCAAAGGGAGGUAGCGACAUAUCCCCCCGACUCCCACCCUAUGACUCAAAGAAAACAAUAAAUUACCUAUAAGGCAAAGAGUCAAACACCUUCCCUAGUGUAGAGGAGAUACUGACGCUAAUUGUAAAAAUCCCUUGGUCAAUCUCAUCGCUAAUUCAGGGCUGUCCCUACUCCCCUUUGACCUCCAGCAGUUUUCCUAUUUCUAAUGAGCACCUCCGCUGUCUACAAGAUGGAGCAACUCACCCAGAAAGUACCAUGCAAGGAAUCGCAGGGAAAUCAUUCGUUUUCGGGGCAUGUGGAACAGGUACACAGUGUCAAGUACUUGGUCCUUGGGCACCUGGCAGAAAUAAAACAGUGGGAGAGUUAAAGAUUCAUUUCCCAUUCUCCAAAAGCACAAUGUAUACCCUGGGGGCCCACCCUCAAAGGUGAUUCCUAAGAGUCCCUGCCCGAACCAUGAGGUUGAUGACCCUGAAGUCCUUCUGCAGGCCAUGGCCCACGAACUUGACGCCAAUGUCAAUGAGAAACCGAAGCUUCAAGUACGUGGACUUGAGGGUUGUGAGGUGCUUGGAGGAUAUCUUGGCGUCAAGGUCUCCCGGCUUUAUCCCCGAGUACUGAGUCAAGUAAUCCACGACCUGGGAAUAGAGAAAGGAAGUGAGGCGCAGAGUCUCCUCCUGCCACUCUUCCCUGGGUUCUCAAGUACAGGGUCUGCCUCACUCGCACACCUACAGUAAUACCUGCUCCUGGGUAGAGAUGUAGUCAUCAAUGAAGGGGAUACCCUCAUUUGGUCCCUGGCCCCGAACACAGGUGAUCCUUGCUACUGACAUCUGGCUUGGUUUAAUGGUGGACUUGGUGCCAUCACUGCGUAACUCUGCUUCUUCCUAUGUGAGGAGAGUUGAUAAGGAAAUCAGAAAUGCUUGUAACUCCUAAUGGCCUUACAGUUCCAUGCCAGUGUUCUGUCUUUUUAGUCUUGGUUACCUCAUUGAGGGUGACAAACUCAGCAUCGAGGCCCACCAGAUCCCCAACCUGUGGCAUUUCAUUCAGCAUCAGUGGGAUAAAGGUAGUAUGUGUCUUCCGCUGCUUCCGUGCCAGUGAGGCUUCAGCCAGCAGGACACUAGCCUCAAUAGGAUUCUUGACUGGAAGGGAGAACACACAGGACAGGGGGCUGGGAUAGGUAUCAGAGGAGAAAAGCCCAAGGUGGCUAAUGGGAGACUCUGGGUCUAUGCUGUCGUCCCUCAAUAAUUAAGGCAUGCAAGUAUUAAGAUCCUAUCUGAUGAACAGAGCAGGUUUAAUCAGAAAAUUACAAAGAAACAGUGGCAGGAGUUUGGUACGGUUGCUUGGAAUGCCUGCAUCCCAUGUUGGAGUGCCUGGGUUCAGUCCCAGCUCUAUUUCACUCCCAAUUCCAGUGUCCUGCUGACGCUCACCCUGGAAGGUGGCAGGUGAUGGCUCAAAUGGUUAGGUCCCUGCUGCCUACGUGGAAGAUGGGGAUUGAGUUCCUGGAUCAAGGGCAACUGGGCGGUAGACCUGAGGAUGGGAUGUCUGCCUCACAAAAUAAGCUAAUUUUUAAAAGAAAUAUACUGAGAACAGACAAGAAAGAACAAAGCUUUCAUUUGAAUCAUAGCCUACAGAGAAAGUACAGUUUAAAGCUACCAAACAGAGACUUAAUAAGGAACAUAUCUCCCAAAGGGGAGAUCUUCAUGUGAUUAUGAACAUGGUUAGACUCAAACUUGAGACCUGAAUCACUCUGAUCAAACUUCCCACCCUCAUCUCUUCCCCCACCCCACCCCCGGGAUCGCCAGCUCUAAACACAAGGUCGAGGGUGAGUGUCGGGCCUAGCAGCUAGGCAGCCAGUUAGGAUCCCUGCAACUUGUAUCCAGCCAUCUGGGUUUCAGCUUCCUGCCAAUGCAGACCCCAGAAGACGGCAGUGAUGGCACGGAUCAAGUGGUUGGGCUCCUGUUACCCACGUGGGAGACCUAGAUUGAGUUCCCAACUUCUGGCUUCAGCAUGGCCCAGCCUCAGCCAUUGUAGGCACUUUGGGAAUGAAUCCACAGAGGGGAGUUCUCCUCUCUGUUUAUCUGUCUCUCUGCCUCUCAAAUAAACGAAUAAAUAAUGUUUUUAAACAUAAUUAAAAUAAGUAAGCAGAAAUCUUUUUAGUGUGCCCAGAAAUAUUAAUGCUGAUUACCAAUCCAAAAUACUGACACACUCUAUCCCAAAUCUCUUCCUAAAGUCCUAUCUAAACUAUCUAAACUGCCCAUACCCUUGGGUCUACUCUUUGUUACUUACUGUUCAGGUUAUAUCUGGAAUUGAGAUUUCUUUUCACGUAAUAAAGGAUUGCAGGUACUUUCCAAUUCAUGUCAAACUGCACGGCUUCAUGCUAUAGAAGAAAAAAAGCACUUAUGGCCUUUGCAUACACCCCCUCUUCCUUUUCCCCAAGCCAGGCAGAAGCCAGGACCGGGGUGCUAUUUUUAACUCUGAUAAUACUUUUCAUUCCUGAGGAUCCCUCCCUCUUGAUUUUGCCUGGCUUUCUAUAAGGCCCCAAGGAUGAAGAUGCUAGGAAAAGGGGAGAAGAAAGGUGGAGUGGAACGUGUGACAACUAACCUUAUCGAUGGGUUCGAUGAGAAAGUCAUUGAAGAGAUACCACUGCUGGUGAGUAACACCCUGUGGAGACACAGGAAGAUGGAUGUCAGAGUGACGGCUGGACCCCUGUCUCAGACUCAGCGACAGACCUGGGACUCCACUGUGGCCAUCCCCAGGAAUGUCCCUGCCCUGUGCCACCUCACUCACCUCUUUGCGCUGGUGGUACGUCUCUCCAACUUUGAUAUGAGCCACCAGGCUGCCCCCUGUGCGUGAGUCCAGGAUGUGUACCACAGUUGCCAUCAGGUCAUACACAUAGACACCAUGCUCCUCCUCUGCCCUGGCUGGGCCCCACUGUGAGGGGGGCACCCAGGCUGCUAAGCUAAGUUUAAGGAUGGGGAAGGAAGGGGGGAUGGGGACAGAGGACAGGGAGUUGGGGGUAUAGGGAAUGGGGGACCAGGGUGGGUUAUUUCCAUCCUAGCCCGUCUACGACUCCCAGGGCUGACCUGAGCUGGUCUGGAAGAUCUUACAAGUUGUAAAUCACAGGCCUCACUCCCUUACUAAGUUCCACCUUUCCCCAGCCAGCUUCACCUUCUGCCCCACCUCCUCUCCCGUAUCCUCCCUGCCCCCAUUCCCAGUUUUUCAACAACCUGCACCUCCUCCCCAUCAGUCCAAUUGCAAACAUCCAGCCCUUUGUUCUUGGUCAUCUUCAUGCGAAGGGAGAAAGGAAGCCAGACAUUCUUCAGCUCCUCCAUGGAGGGACAGAGCAGCGCACCUUCGGGACUCCCCACUUCCUUCCUGUCAGCACAGAGGAAUCGAUGUGUCCUGCAGAGAUCCAGCUGGUAACAAGAGGAUCCGCCAGGCCAAGUCUCCUGCAGCCAGGCUGGUGGACUCAGAGCCCCCUCAGAAGCGCCUCUUGCGUUUAUGCCUCCGAGAGCUUUCCUAACGCUGCCCUCAUCGUGCCUGUUCUGUAUCACCAUCUGCCUGCCCUACUGCACCUUUCUUGCUCAGCGGCCGCCUUCUUCAUGGUGCCAUCCUUGACUACUGUGGCAUCUCUGGCACUGAAUGCUUAGACAUUCCUUUAGCAUUCAGCAACAGCAUGGAAGCAAUUUCUGAUACAGCAAUGUCUCACCUUCACCAACCACACACUAAACUUCCUAAAAACAGGGACUGCAUCUUUGAAGUCUCCAAAUCCUCCCUAACACCUAAUACAGCUCUGUCAAUAUUUCAGUGGUCCCCAAAAGCCUUUACGAACUGUUUAAAACCAAAAGACCAACAAAGACAAAAGCAGCAAUGCCAGUGGACUGGGGAGGGGCCAGCUCCGUCCCCUCUGAACACACCUGAUUACGUAGCCUGGUGCGGGGGUUGGGGGCAUAGCCAAUGAAGCCUACUUUCUUCAUGGUGCGCAGAAUCUCUGCAUCCACGGGAGGUGCUCGCCUAUAAUGCAGUACAAGUCUAGGGCUUAAAGGGUCACAGUGUCCACCCAUCCACUCCCAACCCCAAGGGUCCAGAAAGAAUACGGAAGGUAAACAAAAACCAGGAAAGUAGUAAAUAAUGACAGGGCUAGCAGAGGACUCAGCUCAGUUCUUUCCCCCUCCCUCCUUUGGGCCCAGAGGUGAGGUACAACCUGGGGGCUGGAGCGGAGUUGGCAGCAGGCCAGUCAGAGAGAAGUGUGUCAGUGGUGAGUGGCACAGGGAUGAGGGAAAGAGGCAGCAGGUCCUGGCUCCAGUCCAGAGGAGGUAGUGAGUCCACGAGACAGGGCAAAGCAAACUCAGUCUCACGGGAGUAGGGGUUGAAAGAAGGCUCAGGGGAGUCAGUCCAGAGGUGCACGCAGCCCUCAGAAUCCCCAAAGG